GUAGACUGGAGAAUGAAAGUCACUAUAGUAAAAGCAAACAGUUGAAUGCGUUUUGGAUGUCACGGAAUGUUUGACAUUUUCUCUUAAAUUCUUCGUACGCUGUUACCGCUGUUACAUUAGCAUGUGUUUUUUGUAAAUAGAAAAACUUAGAGGUGCGUCUCCGAGUUCUGAAUUAGUAAAGGAGGCAGGAAGUCUAAGAAAUAGUAUUCUCUUUUUAUCCCAAAGCAGAGCGUGAUAUGUGUAGUCAUUUCGCAAACACAACCGGGGAGGUGUUUACAGGAAAUUCCGAUGAUGGACAUGCUGCAAAAGCUGGGAAACUUCAAGAAGAAACUGUCCAAGAGCCCAUCCUGAGACUGCAAAAGUGGUUUGCUGUGGCUUCUGUGAGCAACACUGAUGGAGAACACCAAGGAAUUUAGGAAAAGUUCUUCCAGAGUGGGAGGAACAAAAAGAAGUUUGGGGAGGACAUGUUCCUGCCUUAAGCAAUCCAGAAUGCAGUACUGUAUUUAGGAGAAAUGUCCCCUGAGAUUCCUUUGAACAACUGAAACAAAACACUUGGGGGAAGAGCUAUCUUUUUCUGGCCAACAUCAAUUUGUUGUAUAGUGGGACAGAUUUUAAGCAGUUAUGUAAUAGCUCCCAGGAGUUUAACUAGGGUUAGCUAGAAAACCAGCUGCUAACUAUGUAAUAGUAAAUUUUUUAAAAAAUCUGAUAAAUCGUGAGCUAUCUUUUUCUGGCCAACAUCAAUUUGUUGUAUAGUGGGACAGAUUUUAAGCAGUUAUGUAAUAGCUCCCAGGAGUUUAACUAGGGUUAGCUAGAAAACCAGCUGCUAACUAUGUAAUAGUAAAUUUUUUAAAAAAAUCUGAUAAAUCGUGACCCUUCAUGAUUCUUGUUUGUUCCAGAAUAGCAGAAGAAAUUAAUCCAUUGCUCAUUGCCAUUUUCCUAUUGAAGACCAACAUUUUAUUUUCUCACUUGACUAUGCCAAGUGCUUUUGCUCCUCCUGACUGAGCAAUUCUGAUUAAAAAAUAAAUAGACAAUAAUAAUAGAAUUGUAGAAUCUGUUUCAGGUACUCUCUAUAAAGUCCUUGAAGGCAAACAUCAAUAAAG
rnacentral:lncRNA from 1 species